rnacentral:lncRNA from 10 species
UUUUUUAACUACAAUUAUCAUCAAUUUGAUUGUGCAUUAAUGUGCUGGGUCAGAAAAAAAUUAUAUUGAGGUAUUUGAAGCUAUUUAUCCACAUACUGAAUAGCCCCAGACUGCUAACAUUCUAGUGUUCUUGGGUCUGAUCUAAAUAAUCCUAUUUCUUUACCUACUGCCACACUUUCACUUGUUACUUUUUGCUGUUAUGAAGUACAGUGACAUUAAAAAAAAGAAUAGAAUCCUUAGGAAUCCCCAGACCAGAAAGACCAUGAACCCAGGUCACAUCUUUUCUUGCUUUUGGUAUUAUUCAGUGCCUACCAUGGUGCCUGGGACAGAGCAGGUGAGCAUUAAUUCGCUGGUGAAUAAAUAAAUAUACCAUUUAGUGUGUAAUUCUGGCUUUACUACUUACUAUCUGCAUCACCAUGGGCAAGCCCAGAGUCUCAAUUUCCAAGUCUGCAAAAUGGGAAAUAUAAUAAUACCUUAUUUUCGGGACUCUUGCAAAAAUUAAAUUAAUUGAAUCAAAGCAUUGGUAAGAAAGUGCCUAUGAACUGUGGAGUGCAAUACAAAGCCCCUGUUUGUAGUGUGUAACAAGAUUGUGAUUAUUAUUAUGUAUUGCUGGUUUCUGGGGGGUGGUCUGCCUGCUCUUCUGGAGGAGGUUCUGAUAUCAAAGGCCUUGGCUAAUUAAGGCAGCAAGGUAAGGAAAUCAAAGCAGACGAAAUAGGCCAGGAGGCUUCAUCCUGGACACUGUGUGUGUGUAGUCCAGCAGUCUCCCAGUUGGCUCACCUUGGCAGGUGACGUGUCUACAGGACCUACUCCUCUCCUGCCCUGUCUUCACCUCAUCUCUCCUCCCUGUCCCCAGCACCCCUAUGUGUCCUAUCUUCCUAAUCUCACCAGAUGUGAGGAAUCCAUCCAUGUAAAGGAGGGCAGGACUUAAUCCGCUGCCCCCUCUGAGAGAUAUGGAUCAGGAUUGCUCCAGUUAGGGGCUUUUCCUAAUCAGAAUUGACACAGACUUUGAUCAGGAACAGAGAAUUUGCUAGGAGCCUCCCAGGAUCAUCAAUCCCCCUAAAGAAUUUUCAAAAGUAGGAAAUUCACACUUCAAACAGGGAAAAUGAAAUGCUUAAGCACC